rnacentral:lncRNA from 1 species
CCAGAUUUACACAGCUGGAUCCACCGCUGGGCUCACCUGCGCAUUCUGGCUUCCUGGGUCCUGCCUGGGAGAGGAAGGGGUGCAGAGAGUGGAGAAAGUUGGACAGGAGAGGGAGCUACCAUUGCUCCUGGCCUCAUCUGUGUCUGAAGAAUGAUUACCCUGAGGGGUUUCUCUACUUAUCUCCUCCCUGGAUGGCUGUAUAAGCCAGAUGAUGGUUACCUGAACACUCCAGAAAAAGAAUUCACAGAGGGUUUCACAGGGCACAGCCUCGCAGUCUGGAGGGAGAAGAGGGCAAAGCGGUCUUCACGGACGCCACCUACUGCCUGGCUGGGCAGAGAGCCAGUGGAUCAGAGAGGCCGGCUCUGUUCUUGGCAGGAAAUGAGGAGCUGGCAUGGAAAUGCCACCCAGGCUGGGAACAAGAUCUAUGGAGUGGCAGCCUGAGUGGGUGAGGUGAGGGGGAGCACAGGACAACCCAAGGCUCUCUUGUCAGCAGCGCCAGUCCACAGGGAUCUUCAGUGGUCAGCGUUCGAACAUGCUGGACUGGGCCGGGCCAUGGAAACCCACUCUUUGUCAGUGAAUCCCAAGCUUCAGUGCACCUCUGUAUCACCUUGGCAGGAGGGUAGUAUUUAAAAG